UACGUAGGGUGCAAGCGUUAAUCGGAAUUACUGGGCGUAAAGCGUGCGCAGGCGGUUGUGGAAGUCUGACGUGAAAUCCCCGGGCUUAACCUGGGAAUGGCGUUGGAGACUGCACGGCUAGAGUGUGUCAGAGGGGGGUAGAAUUCCACGUGUAGCAGUGAAAUGCGUAGAUAUGUGGAGGAAUACCGAUGGCGAAGGCAGCCCCCUGGGAUAACACUGACGCUCAUGCACGAAAGCGUGGGGAGCAAACAGG
rnacentral:rRNA from 1 species